rnacentral:rRNA from 1 species
CAGUCGCCGCGGUAAUACGAAGGGUGCAAGCGUUACUCGGAAUUACUGGGCGUAAAGCGCACGCAGGCGGUCUGUCAAGUCAGAUGUGAAAUCCCCGGGCUUAACCUGGGAACUGCAUUUGAAACUGGCAGGCUAGAGUCUUGUAGAGGGGGGUAGAAUUCCAGGUGUAGCGGUGAAAUGCGUAGAGAUCUGGAGGAAUACCGGUGGCGAAGGCGGCCCCCUGGACAAAGACUGACGCUCAGGUGCGAAAGCGUGGGGAGCAAACAGGAUUAGAUACCCCGGUAGUCCCUGUCUCUUAUAC